rnacentral:rRNA from 1 species
UAGGGAAUCUUCCACAAUGGACGCAAGUCUGAUGGAGCAACGCCGCGUGAGUGAAGAAGGUUUUCGGACCGUAAAGCUCUGUUGUUGGUGAAGAAGGAUAGAGGUAGUAACUGGCCUUUAUUUGACGGUAAUCAACCAGAAAGUCACGGCUAACUACGUGCCGGCAGCCGCGGUAAUACGUAGGUGGCAAGCGUUGUCCGGAUUUAUUGGGCGUAAAGCGAGCGCAGGCGGAAGAAUAAGUCUGAUGUGAAAGCCCUCGGCUUAACCGAGGAAUUGCAUCGGAAACUGUUUUCUUGAGUGCAGAAGAGGAGAGUAGAACUCCAUGUGUAGCGGUGGAAUGCGUAGAUAUAUGGAAGAAUACCAGUGGCGAAGGCGGCUCUCUGGUCUGCAACUGACGCUGAGGCUCGAAAGCAUGGGUAGCGAACAGGAUUAGAUACCCUGGUAGUCCAUGCCGUAAACGAUGAGUGCUAAGUGUUGGGAGGCUUCCGCCUCUCAGUGCUGCAGCUAACGCAUUAAGCACUCCGCCUGGGGGAGUACGACCGCAAGGUUGAAAC